rnacentral:rRNA from 1 species
GAUGAACGCUGGCGGCGUGCCUAAUACAUGCAAGUCGAGCGAACGGACGAGAAGCUUGCUUCUCUGAUGUUAGCGGCGGACGGGUGAGUAACACGUGGAUAACCUACCUAUAAGACUGGGAUAACUUCGGGAAACCGGAGCUAAUACCGGAUAAUAUUUUGAACCGCAUGGUUCAAAAGUGAAAGACGGUCUUGCUGUCACUUAUAGAUGGAUCCGCGCUGCAUUAGCUAGUUGGUAAGGUAACGGCUUACCAAGGCAACGAUGCAUAGCCGACCUGAGAGGGUGAUCGGCCACACUGGAACUGAGACACGGUCCAGACUCCUACGGAAGGCAGCAGUAGGGAAUCUUCCGCAAUGGGCGAAAGCCUGACGGAGCAACGCGGCGUGAGUGAUGAAGGUCUUCGGAUCGUAAAACUCUGUUAUUAGGGAAGAACAUAUGUGUAGUAACUGUGCACAUCUUGACGGUACCUAAUCAGAAAGCCACGGCUAACUACGUG